CAGGGCUGCAGAAGCAACCCAGAAAACCUCCUCUCCAAGGGGAAGAGUCUCUUUUCCAUGCCAGACCUGUCCGUGCAGGACGAAACAGGAAGAGUAACAUGAACGUGCAGCACUGGCCUGAUCAAGAAGGAGGUGUUUAUAAAGCCAAAGAUCCCAGGAGGGAGAUGCGAGGUGCACAUGAAGUAACAGAGGAUGAACACACGAAGGCAGAGGUGCCCAUUGACCAGACAGCUGCAAACAUUGUGGAAGAGGAAUUUAUACAAAAAGCCAAAAUGAGAAGCCACAACAAGGU